rfam:Capsicum annuum cultivar Zunla-1 unplaced genomic scaffold scaffold5760, whole genome shotgun sequence
GAUUAAGCCAUGCAUGUGUAAGUAUGAACAAAUUCAGACUGUGAAACUGCGAACGGCUUAUUAAAUCAAUUAUAGUUUGUUUGAUGGUAUCUACUACUCGGAUAACUGUAGUAAUUCUAGAGCUAAUACGUGCAAUAAACCCAAACUUCUGGAAGAGAUGCAUUUAUUAGAUAAAAGGUCAACGCGAGCUCUGUCUGUUGCUGCGAUGAUUCGUGAUCUCGACGGAUGGCAUGGCCAUCGUGCUAGCGACGCAUCAUUCAAAUUUUUGUCCUAUCAAGUUUUGAUAGUAGGCUAGUGGCCUACCAUGGUGGUGAUAGGUGAAAGAGAAUUAGGGUUCGAUUUCAAAGAGGGAGCAUGAGAAAUGUCUAACACAUCCAAGGAAGGUAGCAGACACAUAAAUUACCCAAUCCUAACACCAUCGCCCCCAAAUCACCAUAGGCACAAGGAA